CGUUGUGUUUGUUUACUCGUCCUUUUUUUGUGAAUGUUUUAUUUGAAAGCAAAAUUAGGAAAGAAAUUAACCUGUGCUAUUUGUGGAAAUGUAUAUGAAGACGGCAGCAGAAAAAUUGGUGUUUUUUCAGUACCAAAGAAUAUGUUUUCUCGGUGGAAAUCGAUCAUACCUGAACUGAAAGAAACAGCGAGACUGUGCGACAUUCAUUUUGAAGAAUCAGAUAUAGUGAAGGGUUUCUAAAACGGGCAGAAUUUUCAUCCCCUACAAAACUGGAGAUUACUUAAGUCAGCUAUUCCAAAAUUUGUCUUGGGUACAUUACAAAUGUACUACUCUCAAUUUACGAUGAAACAACUUAAAGUUUUUAAAACAGUUAAAACAAAUGCAGAAUCCCCAUCUGCUCGUAAACCUUUAAAGCAGCUGUUAAAUGUCAUUGGCCAUAACAACCGCUUGCCAACAAAAAGACAAAAUAAUUGUCAUUCUACUGCACAAGCAAAUGCCAGAAAACGCUGCAGGAAAGAAGUAAACAAUAAGCCCAUUGCUGGAGAGAGUAUGGUUCAGGAAAUAAUUUCGUCACAACAGAGUCCACAGAAAGUAUUGAUUGUUUCUUU